AACCCAUGGUGAGGGCAUCUUCGCAAAAGAUCCUUGUAUCUCUCUCAUGUGUCGUAGAGUGUUUCUAAAUCUAUCUGCACAAAAGAGGAGAUAUCAUUACAUAAUUU
rnacentral:snoRNA from 1 species